GAUGAACGCUGGCGGUAGGCCUAACACAUGCAAGUCGAACGGCAGCACAGUAAGAGCUUGCUCUUACGGGUGGCGAGUGGCGGACGGGUGAGGAAUACAUCGGAAUCUACUUUUUCGUGGGGGAUAACGUAGGGAAACUUACGCUAAUACCGCAUACGACCUACGGGUGAAAGCAGGGGAUCUUCGGACCUUGCGCGAUUGAAUGAGCCGAUGUCGGAUUAGCUAGUUGGCGGGGUAAAGGCCCACCAAGGCGACGAUCCGUAGCUGGUCUGAGAGGAUGAUCAGCCACACUGGAACUGAGACACGGUCCAGACUCCUACGGGAGGCAGCAGUGGGGAAUAUUGGACAAUGGGCGCAAGCCUGAUCCAGCCAUACCGCGUGGGUGAAGAAGGCCUUCGGGUUGUAAAGCCCUUUUGUUGGGAAAGAAAAGCAGCAGGUUAAUACCCCGCUGUUCUGACGGUACCCAAAGAAUAAGCACCGGCUAACUUCGUG
rnacentral:rRNA from 1 species